ACAGAGCCAUAGUUCACUGACAAUAAAGCAACACUUUUUAAGUUACUUUUAGAGUGUACUUACUCUACGCACACUUAAGUGGCCUUUUUUCAUUAAUAUUAUAUCAUCUGCAAAUAGGGUUUUUUUAAGAUGCAUUUUAACAUUUGAAGUGCACACUCAGUACAAUUAAGUGCACUUCCUUUUCACAAGUGUAUUUCCAAUUAGGCCUUUUUUGCAUUUUUGGACAUAAAGAGCAGCAGAACAACCUGAAAGUGGAACCAAUGGACUUCAAAACUGUCGGCUAAGCCGCAACUCUCCUGGCAAAACACAGUAAUUCUGGACUCGCUUUGGAUGAAUCUGUUGAGAAUACCACCUGACUAGUGGCCUCCAGGAUCCUAUGACAGGAUACCUGUAUGAGUGAGCCAAGAUUCUCAAAGAUCUUCCUCCAGGAUGUCUGCCUGCUCAAUACUAAAUUAAGAUUAUGUAAGUACAUGCUAUAAGAUUCUUGGCUGCCUGUUUGCCUGACUCAAGAUCAUGAUCCUGUUAGAUUUUGGACAAAAGGGGCUGCCGUUAAUG